rnacentral:rRNA from 1 species
AACGCGUAGGAAUCUACCUGAUAGUUGGGGAUAGCCCAGGGAAACUUGGAUUAAUACCGAAUACGCUCUACGGAGGAAAGGAGGGGAUCUUUUGACCUUUCGCUAUCAGAUGAGCCUGCGUGAGAUUAGCUAGUUGGUGAGGUAAUGGCUCACCAAGGCGACGAUCUCUAGCUGGUCUGAGAGGAUGAUCAGCCACACUGGAACUGAGACACGGUCCAG